UGAUAUAACUGCCAGUAAGAAAAAGUGUGUGUGUGUGUGUGUGUGUGUGUGCGCGCGCGUGUGCAGGUCACAACAACAACUGCAGAUGUAGAGACCACGCUUUCCCUUGCUUCCAUUCCACGGCUGAUCAUGCUUGAGGAUCCAGAUCUACAAAACAAAAAAUGGAUGCUGCCGAUUGAAGGCUAAGUCCGCUUUCCUGCGAUUGACCUACCAUUUCUUCAGCAUUUGCUGUUCACUUUGGUUGCUACUACGUGCUCAACAUCGAGUACCAAGUGGAAGCAGCCACUACUUUGGAGUUUAUUCAGAGAUUUAUUGUGAGGAUCAGCCCCGACAACAGCAAGUGCUCCUCUAACUUCCAGG